GAUGAACGCUGGCGGCGUGCCUAAUACAUGCAAGUCGAGCGAACAGACGAUGAGCUUGCUCCUCUGACGUUAGCGGCGGACGGGUGAGUAACACGUGGAUAACCUACCUAUAAGACUGGGAUAACUUCGGGAAACCGGAUCUAAUACCGUAUAAUAUAUUGAACCGCAUGGUUCAAUAGUGAAAUACGGUUUUGCUGUCACUUCUAGAUGGAUCCGCGCCGCAUUAGCUAGUUGGUAAGGUAACGGCUUACCAAGGCAACGAUGCGUAGACGACCUAUGAGGCUGAUAGGCCACACUGGAACGGAGACACGGUCAAGACUCCUACGGGAGGCAGCAGUAGCGAAUCUUCGGCAAUGGGCGAAAGCCUGACGGAGCAACGCCGCGUGAGUGAUGAAGGUCUUCGGAUCGUAAAACUCUGUUAUUAGGGAAGAACAAAUGUGUAAGUAAAUAUGCACGUAUUGACGGUAACUAAUAAGAAAGCCACGGCUAACUACGUG
rnacentral:rRNA from 1 species